rnacentral:rRNA from 1 species
UACGUAGGAGGCAAGCGUUGUCCGGAAUCAUUGGGCGUAAAGCGCGUGUAGGCGGCUUGAUAAGUCCGCUCUGAAAGCCCGGGGCUCAACCCCGGGAGGCGGGUGGAUACUGUCAAGCUCGAGUCCGGAAGAGGCGAGUGGAAUUCCUGGUGUAGCGGUGAAAUGCGCAGAUAUCAGGAGGAACACCAAUGGCGAAGGCAGCUCGCUGGGACGUGACUGACGCUGAGACGCGAAAGCGUGGGGAGCAAACAGG